UCAGGAUGAACGCUGGCGGCGUGCCUAAUACAUGCAAGUCGAACGAGGUAGCAAUACCGAGUGGCGAACGGGUGAGUAACACGUAGGUAACCUGCCCUUAAGCUUGGGAUACCCAGAGGAAACUUUGGCUAAUACCGGAUAACAACAGAGAAGGCAUCUUCUUGCUUGAAAGGCCCCUUCAAGGGUCACUUAAGGAUGGACCUGCGGCGCAUUAGCUAGUUGGUGAGAUAACAGCCCACCAAGGCGAGGAUGCGUAGCCGAACUGAGAGGUUGAUCGGCCACAUUGGAACUGAGACACGGUCCAAACUCCUACGGGAGGCAGCAGUAAGGAGUUUUCGGCAAUGGGGGAAACCCUGACCGAGCAACGCCGCGUGAGCGAUGACGGCCCUAAUGGGUUGUAAAGCUCUGUUGUAAGCCAUGAAUGAUAGCUUUAGGAAAUGAAAGCUAUUUGACGACAGCUUACCAGAAAGCCACGGCUAACUACGUGCCAGCCGCUGC
rnacentral:rRNA from 1 species